GACGAACGCUGGCGGCGUGCUUAACACAUGCAAGUCGAACGGAAAGGCCCUGCUUGCCGGGUACUCGAGUGGCGAACGGGUGAGUAACACGUGGGUGACUUCCCUGCACUUCGGGAUUAGCCCUGGAAACUGGGGCUAAUUCCGGACAGGAGGCAAUUUUUAGUUGGAGGGUUGAAAGGUUUUUUCGGUGUAGGAUGAGCUCGCGGCCUAUCAGCUUGUUGGUGGGGUAAUGGCCUACCAAGGCGGCGACGGGUAGCCGGCCUGAGAGGGUGGACGGCCACAUUGGGACUGAGAUACGGCCCAGACUCCUACGGGAGGCAGCAGUGGGGAAUAUUGCACAAUGGGCGCAAGCCUGAUGCAGCGACGCCGCGUGGGGGAUGACGGCCUUCGGGUUGUAAACUCCUUUCGCUAGGGACGAAGCUUUUUGUGACGGUACCUAGAUAAGAAGCACCGGCUAACUACGUG
rnacentral:rRNA from 1 species